GGUGGAUUCAAUUGUAUAAUCUGAUUUCAUCUACCCCCUGUGCCUAUAAAUAGAGAGUCUUCAAGGAGCUGGGAAUUCAUCAUUCAUUCAUAUUCCAUCACAUUAUAGACAAAGAGAGGGAGAGUUGAGAGUCACAAAGGGAGAAAAGAGGAAGGCAGCAGCUGGGAGGCUCUGGCCUCUUGGUAGCCAUGGGAAUGAAGCUUUUCCAUCUCUAGCAUGACGUCCCUAUCUUCUUCUUCUCCCUUUGCCUUUUGUUCUCUUCUUGUAUUUCCUUAGUUUUACUUCGUCUUUCUAUUUAAUAAACACCUUAUAAUUUUUUGUUAUUGUUAUGAACAUGAUGAUUAUAAGUUUUUAAAGUUUGAUUGGUUUCCAAGUUUCAAUUUUGGUUCUUGUGACAGGACCCGUCCCGGAAUUCCUCAGAAAUCGGGACGGAUCCUGUCCAUUUACUGACAUCACCCCGAUGUCGG
rnacentral:lncRNA from 1 species